rnacentral:rRNA from 1 species
UACGUAGGGUGCAAGCGUUGUCCGGAAUUAUUGGGCGUAAAGAGCUCGUAGGCGGUCUGUCGCGUCGGCUGUGAAAUCCCGAGGCUCAACCUCGGGUCUGCAGUCGAUACGGGCAAACUAGAGUAUUGCAGGGGAGACUGGAAUUCCUGGUGUAGCGGCGAAAUGCGCAGAUAUCAGGAGGAACACCGGUGGCGAAGGCGGGUCUCUGGGCAAUAACUGACGCUGAGGAGCGAAAGCGUGGGGAGCGAACAGG